rnacentral:rRNA from 1 species
GACGAACGCUGGCGGCGUGCUUAACACAUGCAAGUCGAACGGGGUGAAUUAGCAAUAGUUCAUCUAGUGGCGGACGGGUGAGUAACGCGUGAGGAACCUGCCUUCAAGAGGGGGAUAACAUCGAGAAAUCGAUGCUAAUACCGCAUAAGACCACGCUCCCGCAUGGGAGAGGGGUCAAAGCUUCGGCGCUUGAAGAUGGACUCGCGUCCCAUUAGCUAGUAGGCGGGGUAACGGCCCACCUAGGCAACGAUGGGUAGCCGAGCUGAGAGGCUGAACGGCCACACUGGGACCGAGACACGGCCCAGACUCCUACGGGAGGCAGCAGUGGGGAAUAUUGGGCAAUGGGCGAAAGCCUGACCCAGCAACGCCGCGUGGAGGAAGAAGGUUUUCGGAUUGUAAACUUCUGUCCUCAAGGACGAAAAAAAUGACGGUACUUGGGGAGGAAGCCCCGGCUAACUACGUGCCAGCAGCCGCAGUAACAC